UUGACGGGACCCGCACAAGCGGUGGAUGAUGUGGAUUAAUUCGAUGCAACGCGAAAACCUUACUACCCUUGACAUGUCCGGAAUCCCGAAGAGAUUUGGGAGUGCUCGCAAGAGAACCGGAACACAGGUGCUGCAUGGCUGUCGUCAGCUCGUGUCGUGAGAUGUUGGGUUAAGUCCCGCAACGAGCGCAACCCUUAUCAUUAGUUGCUACGCAAGGGCACUCUAAUGAGACUGCCGGUGACAAACCGGAGGAAGUGGGGAUGACGUCAAGUCCUCAUGGCCCUUAUGGGUAGGGCUUCACACGUCAUACAAUGGUCGGUACAGAGGGUUGCCAAGCCGCGAGGCGGAGCCAAUCCCACAAAGCCGAUCGUAGUCCGGAUUGUUCUCUGCAACUCGAGAGCAUGAAGUCGGAAUCGCUAGUAAUCGCAGGUCAGCAUACUGCGGUGAAUACGUUCCCGGGUCUU
rnacentral:rRNA from 1 species